AGAAGCACUACUUGUAACAAAUCCUUUGUGAAAUGUUUGAGGGAAACUAAAUGAGUCAAAGGAUUCCCACCUGCACAAUUAGUAUCAGAGGAAGUAUAUAAACCAUUACCGCAGCAGUUAUCAUCAACUAUAGUACAUAAGAAGUACGUAGCGCGGCGGAGUAUCGUCAAUGUUAAGUGUGAGAGAGUUGCAAUAAUCUUCUGACGAGUUUAUUGGUGCAAUAACAUUUUUUAUGUGUCUGUUUAAGAAAUAUUUUGGCUAAGAUCGGACACACUUUGAUAGAGUGAGUUAAGACAGGCCAACUUUGACAGGUCCAUGUUUGAAUCCUUCUGAAUAAGUCUUGCAAUGGUUCCUAAUGGUAAUGUUAAGAAGCUACAUAAACAUCAACAAAGUCUUUUCCUGCUUCAGCAAAUACAACUUUGUCUGUUUCUGUGUCUACGAGAAGCUUCAACAACACUGGCUCAUCUGUUUUGUCAUUAGCCAUGGAAGAGAGAAGUUGGGAGUUUGAAAUUUAAAACGCUGAUAAAAAUGUUUCUUUUGACAGUUCCAAGCAAUGCUGAUACGAUGGGUGGCACAAUGGAUUUUAACAACGUUUUUAAUGUCAAUUCUUGUGCAAUUGGUAUUUGAGUUCUUGGAAAAAUAAAAUGAUAGUGAUCACUUAUGGCUUGCCUUAAAUUGCAUUUGGAAGACCAUAAUUUAUUUAUUUUUGACUCAAUGUUGGGAGUGAGGGUACUUGUGCAUUUAACAUUUCCCCAUUCAGAUAAAUAGUGACUUUUUUUAAGGCAAAUAUGAAUAUAUAAAUAAAUAAAGGUGUCAAAAAGGAUUACAAGUGGCACAAGUUAGAUCUAAAAAUUGGUGAAAGUUUGAGUUCUGCUGAAAAAAAAAUCAUCAUAGCAAGGAGUUUAUGCCAAGGGUGUCUACCUCGCAAAAUAAGUGAGGUUGCCAGGAGAUUAACGUCUCGCAAUUCGUCGCUGCUGCAUGUUGGAGUGGGGUAUUUUUGUUAAAUGAUGUAAUUUAUUUCGAGUUAGUUUCCUUUGCAUUUAAGUUUUAUGUGAGUUUACGUUUGAAUUUGAAUUUGAAUUGAAUUUGGAUUGAAUUUGGAUGAAUAUAUAAGUCCAAAUGAAUUGCACAUGUAACAAAAUUUUGCAUUUUUGAGAAAGUUCAAAGUUAGUUACUAUUUCAUUCUUUCUUUUUAUAUGCAACUGCUCUUUAUCUUCUUCAUCUUUUUGUGCAUUGUUAAUGGAGGUUUAUUGUUGAAGUCCAACAAUUGGUAUCUAGAGCUGUGCAUUGUUAAUGGAGGUUCAUUGUUGAACUCCAACAAUUGGUAUCUAGAGCUCUGUUUUGAUUUAUAGGGAAACACUAGUGUAGCGAGGUAUGUGAUUGAUUUCGUUUUAGAAAUUCGUGUCGAAUUGAAAUUUGAAAUCAAAGAGAAUUGCAAAUCUCGAUUCUCAGGGUUUGGGAAACACGAGUGUUGGUGAGAACUGAGUGAUUUGCACAAGAGCAAAGAUGAACGACGAAAACAGUAGCUUGAACACAAAGUUUCUAGUAUUCAACGGAAAGAACCGGAAUCGAUGGUCGAUUCAGAUGUCUGUGUUGUUUAUAUCUAUUUGUAAAAAAAAACUCAAUCACUUCCAUGUAACUUGUACCAACAAAUCAUUCAUUAAACAAAACUAUAUCUAUAUGUAAGUUUUUUUCAAUCUCUUUCAUUUUGUCAUUAUUUUCUUGAUUCUUUUUCUCUUCAACCAUUUGUAUUUGGCGUUUUUGUAGAUUUUUCUCUUCAACCAUUUGCAUUUGAUGUUCUUGUAGAUUUAACUUCAACCAUUUUUUCAAAAAAUUAUGCAUCAAAUUGUUAGAUGUGAUCAAUUGACUCUUUUUCAUGCUGCGAGGUGUUGGUCAAUAUCUCCAUGUUCAACAUAUAAUAAGUUAAACAAUUAUAUAUUAAAAUAUUAAUUUAAAAAGUGUUUGAAUCACUUAAAUUCAAAUAUUAGAAAAUAACAAAUGAAAAAACUAUAAAAACUUGAAGUAAACAUGUAAGGUAUAAAAAACUAUAAAAACAUAUGGAGCAGAAUAUGAAAGCCACCAAUAAAAAUAUAUAUUAAAUACUCGAGAGAUCAAAUAAAAAAAAUAUUGUCUAAAUGAAGUAUAAACAGUUUUGUGUAUCUACUUCACUUCAGAAAUUCAAUGUUGACUUUUACUCCACAUGUGAAAGAACACUUCUACUCCACAUGUGAAAGAACACUUCCAAGUUGGUUAGUAUUGCCAUGUUAUCGCCAGGUGCUCUAACACAGUUUUAUUAACACUCGGUAUGAAAGCAUACAAGUUGUAAGUGGAGGUAAUCAAAGUCAAAAACUACUUAUAAAUGAUUUUCAAAACACAUUGAAAGGUAAUAGGGUUGUAAAUUCCAAGAGAUAGAAUAAGAGACAAAUUAAGGUAAUCAAAGUCAAAAACUACUUAUAAAUGAUUUUCAAAACACAUUGAAAGGUAAUAGGGUUGUAAAUUCCAAGAGAUAGAAUAAGAGACAAAUUUAAGGUUCCUUUCUUAUCGAAACUUACCUCCCGUCUGUUACCACCAUCACCGUCGUCGAAAUCACCAUGGAUUCACAGGUUUCACUAUAUCUCCAUUUCCUGUUUUAUUGUCUUCUAUUACAAUUGAUAAUAAGAAAAAUGUAUUUUAUCACGCAAAGUGUCAUCACUCUUUAAUUUAAUUAACACAUGACAUUCACUUAUAGUACAAUGCAAUGGACUUGCUCCAAGCACAAGUUUUUGCAUAUUCAAGUGUUUUUCUUGCUUUUAAUCCUACCAUCUAAAUGUUUUUUCAUUAUAAACUUGAGUUUAGGAAUAAAAACUUUUAUCAGUAUUUUGUCAAAAAAAGUGAGUACAUAACUAGCAUAAUAAACCAUGCAGAGGGAGCUCACUUAAUCAUCUACAAGAAAUGAAUACCAUAUCUAAAGUGUAGAAAGUCACACACCUUUAAAUUAAAUUGUUAGAGCCUAUUAUGCACCAAUAACUACUGCACAACAUCACUUAAUAUCACAUACUGCAAUACUUUCUAGAAAAUAACUAUUAACUAUUGCACCAAUAACUAUUGCACCCAAAACAAUGAAGCAACUGAUAUUCAAGUUCAACACUAUAGGUUAAUUUCCAUUCAAGCAAACAAUGAAACUCUAAAUUCAAUCUUACAUUCAAGCAAUAUAGAGAGAGGUAUGGAAAAAUACUAACCGAUUUGUGUCAAACUUGCAAAUGAAUAUAUCAUCCAUAAAGAUGUAGUCAGAUUCUAAGAAGAUGAACUAGGCGUUUGUCGGUGAACCGUCGAGCCAUUACGAGCGAAGAAGGGGAAGAUUCGCGCGAAUAGGUUUCGGGUGUUUGGGUGAGAGUUGUGCGGUUCUGGAUUCUGGUGAAAUUCCUUCGUCGUGCUUUGCGUUUUGGAGAGGUUAAAGGUUGUGAAAAUGGGUUAUUCCUUCGUCGUGCUGUGCGUUUUGGAGAGGUUAAAGGUUGUGAAAAUGGGUUAUUUAUGUU
rnacentral:lncRNA from 1 species